UGCCAGCCGCCGCGGUAACACAGAGGGUGCGAACGUUGCUCGGAAUUACUGGGCGUAAAGCGCGUGUAGGCGGACUUGAAAGUCGGGUGUGAAAUCCCUGGGCUCAACCUAGGAACUGCAUUCGAAACUGCAAGUCUUGAGUAGUGGAGAGGGAUGGCGGAAUUCCGGGUGUAGAGGUGAAAUUCGUAGAUAUCCGGAGGAACACCAGUGGCGAAGGCGGCCUCCUGGACACUUACUGACGCUGAGACGCGAAAGCGUGGGGAGCAAACAGGAUUAGAUA
rnacentral:rRNA from 1 species